GAACCAGGAUCUGGCGAAGAGCGCGUGGGGUGGGGCUUAGGGGCGAGGCGGGCAAGGGGGCGGUGCCAGGACGGCGGCAGGGGCUUGGGCACGGGCUGCGCUGGAAGGAGGGCGGAGAAGAGGGCGUAGACGCGCGGCCGAAUCCCUGCGCCAAACCUCGCGCAGCCUUCCCGCUGCGCCCCUCAGGCGUCGGCUCGUGCGCGGCCCGCGCUGCGAGAACGUAGUUUGGGUGCCGGCCAUUUUCCCGGAGGGCAUCCACGACCUACCCCUCGUCCCAGGCGUGCGCUGGCCGAGAUCUUGGGGGUCCCUGAGGAGGUGAGCGUGCCUGACAGCCCAGGGCCCAGCCCACGGGAUCUUCUGUGCCAGGACUGACAGCAGACCCUCCUCCCGGCAGGACUCAGAGAAGAACAUCCAUCUCCCAGGAACAUGGCAGGUAAGAAGGUGCUGAUCGUCUACGCGCACCAAGAGCCCCGGUCUUUCAACGGGUCCUUGAAGGACGUGGCCGUGGCCGAGCUGAGCCGGCAGGGCUGCAGGGUCACCGUUUCGGACCUCUAUGCCAUGGGCUUUGAGCCGAGUGCCACGAGGAAGGAUGUCACUGGCGCCCUCUCCAACCCCAGCUUCUUCAAUUACGGGGUGGAGUCCCAUGAGGCCUACAGGAGGAAGGCUCUGAGCAGCGACAUCGUCGAGGAGCAGAAGAAGCUUCAGGAGGCUGAUCUGGUGAUAUUCCAGUUCCCGCUCUACUGGUUCAGCGUGCCGGCCAUCCUGAAGGGCUGGAUGGACAGGGUGCUGUGCCAGGGCUUCGCCUUCGACUUCCCGGGCUUCUACGACGACGGCUUCCUCAAGGUAGCACCGGGAGGCUCCGUGUGGAUGGGGGGCUCUCGGCAGGUCCCUUCGGUGUCCUUUUCUGACCAAGGGCUGCUGGAGCACCAGCUGUGUGCAGGCCCCGCUGCUCGCGCGGUCAGAGGGCAUCGUUCCCGAGGUGGGGACAUCCCAGGGCCCUUGGCCUCCUUCAUCCAGAGAGACUGGGAAAGAGGCUGGCGGGAACACUCGGGCAAGGCUCCAUCCAGGCCCCCAUGCAUGGGGAGGGAGCCAAGGUGGCUGCCUGCGGGGGAGGCCCAGCUGGGUCCUUAUACAGGGGGAGGCUAGCGGUCAGGUCCAGAGUUUGGCCCACCGCUUUGGUGCAGCUGCGCCAGGUCCAUGGAUGGUACCCGCCUUUGGCUCCCGAUUCUUCGUUCAGGAAGGUUGGUUUAGGUUUUCUGGGCCCUGUUGUCCAUAAUUGGCCCCAAGUGUACACGCAGGCAGUUCUUUUCAGUCCGUUACAGUUUCUUUGCAUUUUCUGCAUUUGCUGCGUGUACCACUGCAGGUCACAGCCUGCCUCAGGGUCAGCGGCCUUUCCUCCGGGGGGGUUGCAGAGUCUGCAUCCGAAGGCGGGCACACCAGGGGGCUGGGUGGGGGUGGGGGCAGUGACCUGGCCUCUGGGGGCCCCUGCUCCGCAGUGCAGCCUCAGGCCUGGCUGGGUGCCAGCUCACCUCCGAGGGUCACAUACCUGCCUUGCAAACAUGUUAACGUGACACCCCAUUCAGGGUGGCGAUUGCCUGGGACCUAAGGGUGCACAGCACGUGGGAGCCCUGGGCUUCCCAUUAAAACGGGACAGUGUACGUUCCCACUCCAAAGGCCUCAGCAAACAGGUGCGUGUAGGAUGACCCAUGAGGUCCACCUGGGGCCACAAACUGAUGCUGCCCUUUGCUGAGUGGUCCCCUGAGCCGGGCACCACUGGCGGCAGCGUUCCCCCACAGCCGCCCCAGCUCUGGCCUCCGUGCCCUCCCCCCAUCCCUGAGUCUGCUCCCUGCCCAGCCCCAGGGCCUGUCAGCUCUGUGUCCGCACGGUCCCUCCGCUCUGUCCCCUUCUCCUCCCUGAGCACGGAGCUGUCACCUGCAGCUGUCUGCACGGAGACGGCAGUGUAUCAGUUCCUCCCUGGGAGCUGCCCCAGGGGUUCCCCCCACGUGCUGGCAUCACAGACCCUUCCCAGCCUGCUCCCAUGGCGUCCAGUGCACUGCCGUCCCCUCCGCAGGGUAAACUGGCCGUCCUGUCCUUCACCACGGGCGGCACUGCCGAGAUGUACUCGAAAACUGGAGUCCGUGGAGAUUUUCGCUAUUUCCUCUGGCCCCUCCAGCACGGUACCCUGCACUUCUGUGGGUUCAAGGUCCUGGCCCCUCAGGUCAGUUUUGGUCCUGAAUAUGCAUCAGAGGAAGAGCGGAGGGGGAUGGUGGCCGCCUGGGCGCAGAGGCUGAAGACCAUCUGGGAGGAGGAGCCCAUCGACUGCUCGCCCCCCUGGUACUUCGGGCCGUGACCCCCGCGCCCCGACACGCGGUCAGCCACGCCGGGAGGUGACAGCAGCUGGAUCAGGGCUCGUGCUCAGAAUGGUCUGGCCGUCCAGCCUUUAUUGAAAGACCACCUCCUGGGGCGCCGGCAUCUCUGCUGAAGCCUCUUCCUCCCCUUCAGCAUCUAAGUCCCAGCUCCUCACUCAUUGUCUUCCAAGAUAAUAAAGCAAGAGCCACAGGUUCCAU